GCACCCCAGGCCUGAACCUUUAGCUUCGCUGUAGCUUAUGGAUUGGAGGCGGAUAGCAUUUGCUCGCAGGAACAGCGUUGUCCAUGAUUCACGGCCAGUGCUAUUAAGGUGACACUAUAAGAUGUACUCAGCCUAUGCAUCAAGCGCGUUGGGAGCUCUCCCCAUAUUGGUCCGACCGUGCCAGCCGGGCCGCGAAUUGCACUAGUGAUUUCCCGGUUGAUCCUGCCAGAGGUUACUGCUAUCGAGGUUCGACUAAGCCAUGCGAGUCGAAUGUUCCUUCGGGGACAUGGCGCACUGCUCAGUAACACGUGGAUAACCUGCCCUUAGGUCUGGGAUACUCCUGGGAAACUGGGCAUAAUCCCGGAUAAGCCACAGAUGCUGGAAUGCGCUGUGGUUCAAAGCUCCGGCGCCUAAGGAUGGGUCUGCGGCCUAUCAGGGUAGUAGUGGGUGUAACGUACCUACUAGCCGACGACGGGUACGGGUUGUGAGAGCAAGAGCCCGGAGAUGGAUUCUGAGACACGAAUCCAGGCCCUACGGGGUGCAGCAGGCGCGAAAACUUUACAAUGCGGGAAACCGCGAUAAGGGAACCUCGAGUGCCAGCAUACAAUGUUGGCUGUCCAGGUGCCUAAAAAGCAUCUGUUAGCAAGGGCCGGGCAAGACCGGUGCCAGCCGCCGCGGUAACACCGGCGGCUCGAGUGGUAACCGCUAUUAUUGGGUCUAAAGGGUCUGUAGCCGGCCGAAUAAGUCCCUUGGGAAAUCUGGCAGCUUAACUGUCAGGCCUUCAGGGGAUACUGUUUGGCUUGGGACCGGGAGAGGUGAGAGGUACCUCAGGGGUAGGGGUGAAAUCUUGUAAUCCUUGAAGGGACCACCAGUGGCGAAGGCGUCUCACCAGAACGGAUCCGACGGCAAGGGACGAAAGCUAGGGGCACGAACCGGAUUAGAUACCCGGGUAGUCCUAGCCGUAAACGAUACUCGCUAGGUGUCAGCCACGGUGCGACCGUGGUUGGUGCCGUAGGGAAGCCGUGAAGCGAGAACACCUGGGAAGUACGGCCGCAAGGCUGAAACUUAAAGGAAUUGGCGGGGGAGCCCCUCAUGGUGUGGGCCUACUUUUUUCAGAUAUGGC
rnacentral:rRNA from 1 species